UACGUAGGGUGCGAGCGUUGUCCGGAAUUACUGGGCGUAAAGAGCUCGUAGGUGGUUUGUCGCGUUGUCCGUGAAAACUCACAACUCAAUUGUGGGCGUGCGGGCGAUACGGGCAGACUGGAGUACUGCAGGGGAGACUGGAAUUCCUGGUGUAGCGGUGGAAUGCGCAGAUAUCAGGAGGAACACCAGUGGCGAAGGCGGUUGCCUGGAGCUUUGCUGACGCUGAUGCGCGAAAGCGUGGGGAGCGAUCCGG
rnacentral:rRNA from 1 species